CCUACGGGUGGCAGCAGUCGAGAAUCAUUCACAAUGGGGGAAACCCUGAUGGUGCGACGCCGCGUGGGGGAAUGAAGUUCUUCGGAUUGUAAACCCCUGUCAUGUGGGAGCAAAUUAAAAAGAUCGUACCACAAUAGGAAGAGCCGGCUAACUCUGUGCCAGCAGCCGCGGUAAUACAGAGGUCUCAAGCGUUGUUCGGCAUCACUGGGCGUAAAGCGUGCGUAGGCUGUUUCGUAAGUCGUGUGUGAAAGGCGCGGGCUCAACCCGCGGACUGCACAUGAUACUGCGAGACUAGAGUAAGGGAGGGGGAACCGGAAUUCUCGGUGUAGCAGUGAAAUGCGUAGAUAUCGAGAGGAACACUCGUGGCGAAGGCGGGUUCCUGGACAUUAACUGACGCUGAGGCACGAAGGCCAGGGGAGCGAAAGGGAUUAGAUACCCGUGUAGUC
rnacentral:rRNA from 1 species